CGAGGACGAGCCACAGGGAUUGCCCUAGUAACGGCGAGUGAAGCGGCAACAGCUCAAAUUUGAAAUCUGGCUUUCGGGCCCGAGUUGUAAUUUGUAGAGGAUACUUUUGAUGCGGUGCCUUCCGAGUUCCCUGGAACGGGACGCCAUAGAGGGUGAGAGCCCCGUCUGGUUGGAUGCCAAAUCUCUGUAAAGUUCCUUCGACGAGUCGAGUAGUUUGGGAAUGCUGCUCUAAAUGGGAGGUAUAUGUCUUCUAAAGCUAAAUAUUGGCCAGAGACCGAUAGCGCACAAGUAGAGUGAUCGAAAGAUGAAAAGCACUUUGAAAAGAGAGUUAAAAAGUACGUGAAAUUGUUGAAAGGGAAGCGUUUAUGACCAGACUUGGACUUGGUUAAUCAUCUGGGGUUCUCCCCAGUGCACUUUUCCAGUUCAGGCCAGCAUCAGUUUUCGCCGGGGGAUAAAGACUUCGGGAAUGUAGCUCUCUUCGGGGAGUGUUAUAGCCCGUUGUGUAAUACCCUGGCGGAGACUGAGGUUCGCGCUUCUGCAAGGAUGCUGGCGUAAUGGUCAUCAACGACCCGUCUUGAAACACGGACCAAGGAGUCGUCUUCGUAUGCGAGUGUUCGGGUGUCAAACCCCUACGCGUAAUGAAAGUGAACGCAGGUGAGAGCUUCGGCGCAUCAUCGACCGAUCCUGAUGUUCUCGGAUGGAUUUGAGUAAGAGCAUACGGGGCCGGACCCGAAAGAAGGUGAACUAUGCCUGUAUAGGGUGAAGCCAGAGGAAACUCUGGUGGAGGCUCGCAGCGGUUCUGACGUGCAAAUCGAUCGUCAAAUAUGGGCAUGGGGGCGAAAGACUAAUCGAACCUUCUAUAGCUGGUUCCGAAAAACCCCCCUCCCCGCAGAGAGAAAAAAGGGGGAGA
rnacentral:rRNA from 1 species